GUGUCAGCCGCCGCGGUAAUACCAGCACCCCGAGUGGUCGGGACGAUUAUUGGGCCUAAAGCAUCCGUAGCCGGUCAUGCAAGUCUUCCGUUAAAUCCAGCCGCUCAACGGUUGGGCUGCGGAGGAUACUACGUGGCUAGGAGGCGGGAGAGGCAAGCGGUACUCAGUGGGUAGGGGUAAAAUCCUUUGAUCCAUUGAAGACCACCAGUGGCGAAGGCGGCUUGCCAGAACGCGCUCGACGGUGAGGGAUGAAAGCUGGGGGAGCAAACCGGAUUAGAUACCCGGGUAGUCCCAGCUGUAAACGAUGCAGACUCGGUGAUGGGAUGGCCUCGAGCUAUCCCAGUGCCGCAGGGAAGCCGUUAAGUCUGCCGCCUGGGGAGUACGGUCGCAAGACCGAAACUUAAAGGAAAUUGGCGG
rnacentral:rRNA from 1 species